rnacentral:lncRNA from 1 species
UAAGAUUUUCACCAGAAAUGUUUGGGUUUACUAAUUCACAAUAAUCAACAUGGUAUCGAAGCUCAUUUUAUUCCAUGUAUUCUCAAGUUUUCAACAUGGUUUAAGAGCAGUGUUUUGCCCAAUCCAUCAAAAAGCUUUGCAAAACUAAAAAGAAGAGCAAGAGCUCUGUCCAAAUCAUUUACAUAAGCUUGGUUAUUAAUACCCAUGGAAAAGCUCAAGUUUUUAGGACUUUAAUACUCUGGUUACUUAUUUCCACACUCACAAUUCUCUAAGGAUGGGGGCGU